UGGGGAAUAUUGCACAAUGGGCGCAAGCCUGAUGCAGCCAUGCCGCGUGUAUGAAGAAGGCCUUCGGGUUGUAAAGUACUUUCAGCGGGGAGGAAGGCGAUAAGGUUAAUAACCUUGUCGAUUGACGUUACCCGCAGAAGAAGCACCGGCUAACUCCGUGCCAGCAGCCGCGGUAAUACGGAGGGUGCAAGCGUUAAUCGGAAUUACUGGGCGUAAAGCGCACGCAGGCGGUCUGUCAAGUCGGAUGUGAAAUCCCCGGGCUCAACCUGGGAACUGCAUUCGAAACUGGCAGGCUAGAGUCUUGUAGAGGGGGGUAGAAUUCCAGGUGUAGCGGUGAAAUGCGUAGAGAUCGGGAGGAAUACCGGUGGCGAAGGCGGCCCCCUGGACAAAGACUGACGCUCAGGUGCGAAAGCGUGGGGAGCAAACA
rnacentral:rRNA from 1 species